rnacentral:tRNA from 1 species
GUGCCUAUAGCUCAAUAGGCGGAGCGCCUGACUGUGGCUCAGGAGGUUGUGGGUUCAAGCCCCACUAGGCACC